ACGAACGCUGGCGGCGUGCUUAACACCUGCAAGUCGAACGGAAAGGCCCUGCUUUUGUGGGGUGCUCGAGUGGCGAACGGGUGAGUAACACGUGAGUAACCUGCCCUUGACUUUGGGAUAACUUCAGGAAACUGGGGCUAAUACCGGAUAGGAGCUCCUGCUGCAUGGUGGGGGUUGGAAAGUUUCGGCGGUUGGGGAUGGACUCGCGGCUUAUCAGCUUGUUGGUGGGGUAGUGGCUUACCAAGGCUUUGACGGGUAGCCGGCCUGAGAGGGUGACCGGCCACAUUGGGACUGAGAUACGGCCCAGACUCCUACGGGAGGCAGCAGUGGGGAAUAUUGCACAAUGGGCGGAAGCCUGAUGCAGCAACGCCGUGUGCGGGAUGACGGCCUUCGGGUUGUAAACCGCUUUCGCCUGUGACGAAGCGUGAGUGACGGUAAUGGGUAAAGAAGCACCGGCUAACUACGUG
rnacentral:rRNA from 1 species